GCACGCCGCGUGAGUGAUGAAGGCUUUCGGGUCGUAAAGCUCUGUCAAGUGGGAAGAACCCACAUGGUGUUAAUACCACCUUGUGCUGACGGUACCACUGAAGGAAGCACCGGCUAACUCCGUGCCAGCAGCCGCGGUAAUACGGGGGGUGCAAGCGUUAUUCGGAAUUACUGGGCGUAAAGAGCGCGUAGGCGGUCUCUUAAGUCAGGUGUGAAAGCCCGGGGCUCAACCCCGGAAGUGCACUUGAAACUAAGGGACUUGAGUAUGGGAGAGGGAAGUGGAAUUCCUGGUGUAGCGGUGAAAUGCGUAGAUAUCAGGAGGAACAUCGGUGGCGAAGGCGACUUCCUGGACCAAUACUGACGCUGAGGCGCGAAGGCGUGGGGAGCAAACAGGAUUAGAUACCC
rnacentral:rRNA from 1 species